rnacentral:rRNA from 1 species
AAAGUCUUUCGUCCGGACGAUGAUGGAGUGCCGGAAGAAGAAGCCCAGGCUGACUUCGUGCAGCAGCCGCCGUAUAAGAAGGUGGCGUAGCGUGUUCGGCAUCACUGGUGGUAAUGGGCGCGUAGGCGGCUUUGUAAGUCGCGGAAGAAAGCACACGGGUCAACCACAGAAUCGCGUUUGAUACUGCAUGGCUUGAGACCCAGACGAGGUAAGUCGAACUUCGAGUUUAGACGUGAAACUGCGUAGAUAUUCGCCAAGAACACCAGUGGCGAAGGCGGAUUACUGGUCCGUGUUCUGACGCUGAGGCGCGGAAGCGUGGGGAGCAAACAGGAUUAGAUACCCUGGUAGUCCACGCCGUAAACGAUGAAUGUCAGCCGUUGGUCAGCUUGAUGCUCAGUGGCGCAGAUAACGCGCUAAGCGUUCCGCGUGUGGAGUACGGUCGCAAGAUUAAAACUCAAAGGAAUUGACGCGGGCCCGCACAAGCUGUGGAGCAUGUCGUUUAAUUCGAAGCAACGCGCAGAACCUUACCAGCCCUUGACAUGUCCCGUAUGGCCAGUGGAGACAGUGCUCUUCAGUUCGGCUGGCCGGAACACAGGUGGCGCAUGGCUGUCGUCAGAUUGUGUCGUGAGAUGUUGGGUUAAGUCCCGCAACGAGCGCAACCCUCGCCCCUAGUUGCCAUCAUUGGGUUGGGCACUUUAGGGGGACUGCCGGUGAUAAGCCGAGAGGAAGGUGGGGAUGACGUCAAGUCCUCAUGGCCCUUACGGGCUGGGCUACACACGUGCUACAAUGGCGGUGACAAUGGGCAGCGAACCCGCGAGGGGGAGCUAAUCCUAAAAAGCCGUCUCAGUUCGGAUUGCACUCUGCAACUCGAGUGCAUGAAGGUGGAAUCGCUAGUAAUCGUGGAUCAGAACGCCGCGGUGAAUACGUUCCCGGG